GACGUAGGUGGCGAACGUUAUCCGGAAUUAUUGGGCGUAAAGGGUGCGUAGGUGGCCUGGCAAGUUAUCAGUGGUAAAUCGAGGCCCAACCUCGUGGAAACUGGCAAUACUGCUUGGCUUGAGUGCAGGAGAGGUUAACGGAACUCUAUGUGGAGCGGUAAAAUGCACAGAUAUAUAGAAGAACAUCAAUAACGGCGAAGGCAGUUAACUAUUCUGUUACUGACACUGAGGCACGAAAGCGUGGGGAGCAAAACGG
rnacentral:rRNA from 1 species